AUUAAUCAUCAUAUUACUGCAUUACACAGAUAUUUACAACUAUUAUUAUAGCAGAUAUAUUACACUGAUAUUUACAAUCAGAAAUACAUGAUUGGAACUUAUAUUAUUACAUUGAAUUCUGUGAAGUACAUGCCCAGACAAAUAAUCCCUUACAGAAGAAGGAUGUCCAUACUCCACUCGUAUUGCACGAGGGAGAGGAAAUUUUUGAAAUAUUAAACAAAUAAGCACGUUAGCCCUCACA
rnacentral:lncRNA from 1 species